UCUAAUAUGGCAGAUUAGUGCAAUGA
rnacentral:tRNA from 1 species